GACGAACGCUGGCGGCGUGCUUAACACCUGCAAGUCGAACGAGGUUCAAGGGUUAGCAAUAACCUGGAAAACCGAGUGGCGAACGGGUGAGUAACACGUGAGGAACCUACCCCGGACUCAGGGAUAACAGACGGAAACAUCUGCUAAUACCUGAUGCCGUCGGAGCAUCACAUGAUGCGCUGACGAAAGAUUUUUCGGUUCGGGAGGGCCUCGCGGCCUAUCAGCUUGUUGGUGGGGUAACGGCCUACCAAGGCAUCGACGGGUAGCUGGUCUGAGAGGAUGAUCAGCCACACUGGGACUGAGACACGGCCCAGACUCCUACGGGAGGCAGCAGUGGGGAAUCUUGCGCAAUGGGCGAAAGCCUGACGCAGCAACGCCGCGUGCGGGAAGAAGGCCUUAGGG
rnacentral:rRNA from 1 species